GCCAAACUGAUCGACUUUGGCUGUGGCACCUACCUGCAAGACACAGCCUACACUCACUUUGCAGGAACAUGGUCAUACAGCCCCCCAGAAUGGACCCAGUUGGGCUGGUACUAUGGCGAGCCAGCUACCAUCUGGUCCCUGGGCAUCGUGCUGCCGCAGAUGGUCUGUGGGGAGCACCCAUUCAGGAGGGACCAGAACAUCAGCUGGGACCAUCAGCUCUCACUGCCACAACAGCUCUCUCCAGAGUGCCAAGAUCUGAUCAGGCAGUGUUUAUGCAUGCUGGACUUGGAAAGGCCCUCAUUAGAAGAGAUGUUCUGUGAUCCUUGGAUGCAGGAUAUUCAUGUGCCCUAGAAGAAGGGAGAGAGCCACAGCUGGGGCCCUGGGCACAGCCCUGACAGCCUGGUCUCACCCCAAGAAAGGAGAAGGAGCCCCUGGAGAAGCUGUACUGGGUGGGAAUGCUGCUGCUGCUGGAGACAGCGAGGAUGACAUCAAGGAUGACAACCUCUUCCUCCACCUGGCCACUGGCCAGCUGAAGAUGAUGGACUUCAAUCUGGCACCUUCUUCAAAGCCAGGCUCCACAGCGAAUUUGCAGCUGAGUCCACACGCAGGGAAAUGCUCCCAGAUUUGGGCAUUGCCCAGCCUGGCUGGGAACCAAAGGUUCCCCCUUGGCUGGCGUGGAUGCAGCUGAUCCUUCA